rnacentral:rRNA from 1 species
AUUCCAGCUCCAAUAGCGUAUAUUAAAGUUGUUGCAGUUAAAAAGCUCGUAGUUGGAUUUGUGGCGCCGCCCGUGGUCCAAAAUGUUUUGGUGCCGUUGGGCGGUGCCAUCCUUGGGUGGAACCUGUGGGGCAUUAGGUUGUUUUGCAGGGGAUGCCCAUCGUUUACUGUGAAAAAAUUAGAGUGUUCAAAGCAGGCUUACGCCGUUGAAUAGAUUAGCAUGGAAUAAUGAGAUAGGACUUUGGUACUAUUUUGUUGGUUUGCGCACCGAAGUAAUGAUUAAUAGGGACAGUUGGGGGUAUUCGUAUUCCAUUGUCAGAGGUGAAAUUCUUGGAUUUUUGGAAGACGAACUACUGCGAAAGCAUUUACCAAGGAUGUU